AAAAAAAAAGCCAGCAAAAGCUGGCCAAAAUAAUACUGGAAGCAAUGUGAGCAAUGUCGUGCUUUCAGGUUCUCCGUAGGGGUUCCCCUGAACGCA
rnacentral:snRNA from 1 species